UUAAUGAAGAGUUUGAUCCUGGCUCAGGACGAACGCUGGCGGCGUGCCUAAUACAUGCAAGUCGAGCGCGGGAAGCCUCUUCGGAGGUGGAACGAGCGGCGAACGGGUGAGUAACACGUGGGCAACCUGCCCGCAAGACUGGGAUAGCUCCGGGAAACCGGAAUUAAUACCAGAUAAACAUCUUUUCCGCAUGGAAAAGAUGAGAAAGGUGGCUUCGGCUGCUACUUGCGGAUGGGCCCGCGGCGCAUUAGCUAGUAGGUGAGGUAAAGGCUCACCUAGGCAACGAUGCGUAGCCGACCUGAGAGGGUGAUCGGCCACACUGGG
rnacentral:ncRNA from 1 species